rnacentral:sRNA from 1 species
AAUAGUGCAUCAACGAAAUACAGAGUGA